UCCUGCCCUAUGAUUAAUUAAAUGGCUGCAGUAUUCUGACUGUGCAAAGGUAGCAUAAUAAUUAGUCUUUUAAUUGAAGGCUUGUAUGAAUGGAAUGAUGAAAAAUUUAUUUUAUUUUUAAUAUAUUUAAAAUUUAAUUUUUAUGUAAAAAAGCUUAAUUUUUUUUCUGGGACGAUAAGACCCUAUAGAACUUUAUUUCUUGGUAAUUUUUAUAGUUUAGUUUUAAUUUUAUAUAUAUUGUUUAAGUUUUUUUGUUGGGGUGACAGAUAAAUUUUACUUUAUCUUUUUUAUUCAUUUUAAAUGUUUUUUUGAUCCAUAGAUGAUUUUAAGAUUAAGUUACCUUAGGGAUAACAGCGUAAUUUUAAUGGGGAGUUCAUAUUUAUAUUAAAGUUUGCGACCUCGAUGUUGAAUUAAGAUUAUAUUUGGGGGCAG
rnacentral:rRNA from 1 species